rfam:Triticum aestivum genome assembly, contig: Triticum_aestivum_CS42_TGACv1_scaffold_374926_5AL
GAAGCACUCCCUCUGUCCGGAAAUACUUGUUAUCAAAAUGGAUAAAAAGAGAUGUAUCUAAACAUAUUUUAGUUCUAGAUACAUCCCUUUAUAUUCAUUUUGAUGACAAGUAUUUUCGGACGGAGGGAGUAGUAU